rnacentral:rRNA from 1 species
UACGUAGGUGGCAAGCGUUGUCCGGAAUUACUGGGUGUAAAGGGAGCGCAGGCGGGAAGCCAAGUCAGCUGUGAAAACUACGGGCUUAACUUGUAGACUGCAGUUGAAACUGGUUUUCUUGAGUGAAGCAGAGGUUGGCGGAAUUCCGAGUGUAGCGGUGAAAUGCGUAGAUAUUCGGAGGAACACCGGUGGCGAAGGCGGCCAACUGGGCUUUAACUGACGCUGAGGCUCGAAAGUGUGGGGAGCAAACAGG